CAAGGCCUUCUUGCUGUGAGGCGACAGUGCUAACCACUGAGCCACCGUGCUGCCCAAUACAGUGAGCUGAAAGAACAAAGACCUGGCUCUCCAGACCAUCAGCGGGAUCCGAGGGCGGGAGGAAGAGGAACCGAGGCAGCGAGGCUCUGGGUCACAUGACCUCCGUGAAGACGCGGUCAAGGAUCUACAGCGCCGCCUUCCUCUGGAAACCAAGGCUCGUUAGCCGGGAUCUCUCUGCAGUCCGUAGUCAUGGAGAUCCAGACGAUGAGACCUCCUGCGUCAGCCUCCUGAAGCGGCAGUACGAGCCCCAGGAGGGACAGGUCCCGCUGGACGGGGAACCGCUGCAACUGUUCUGCAGGAGGUUCUGGAGGAGGUUCUGGCCUGCGGGCGGACCGGCCUGGUGGUGGCUCAUCAGCUGAGGACCGUGGAGAAGGCGGAUCACAUCGUCUUCCUGGAGAAGGGAGUUGAGAACUCAUGGCCAGGAGGCGGCGCUACCACCGUUUGAAGGAGGAACUGUUCUCUCAACCAAUGCGAAAAAUACAACACGUGUGUGCGUGUAUAUAUAUAUAUUUUAUUUUUUGUUGUGUCAACAAUAUUUCAAAAUAAUAUUCCUCUACCGCAGAUUUAGAUCUUCACUUUUAUGAUAUUUUGUACUUUUACUUGAGUAAAAUGUUAAUGUUCAACUAGCAUGGUUGUAAAAUCGUCUGACUGUUUGUCUCCACCACUUCAGCCCCAACGCACCCUAUUCGGCGCGUUUAUGAUAUUGUGUUAUAAACUGUCUAUAAUAUUAUAAUAAACAUGAGCAAAUAUAUUGAUGUUGUACAUCAAAUUAAAGAAGACACCUUGGGCUACAAGUAUCAGUGAGCCAUUUCAACACAACUCAAACACCAACAGAAAUAGAAAUACAAAUAUCAUAAUCAUAAUUUUGUCAGGUCGGUACGUUUCCGGAGCUAGCGACAUGUAGCUUCGUGCAAUCAAAAAGAACGAUUUGUUAGAAAGCAAGAAGACUUCACACAGAUUCUAGAUAUCUUUACAGAAUCCUUCUGCACCAAAUUAUCACGAAGAUAUGAGCCAAAGGACACAAAAAUAGUAAUCGCUUCAUAGCUUUACAGCCAGCAAAUUCAACUUGCUUUUGUUCUUGAGAAGAAGAAAACACGUUUCUCUCCCCUGCAUUCCAGCUGGCAUGGCUUUAGUGUGUGUGUGUGUGUGUGUGUGUGUGUAUAAGUAAUAUAUACAACUAUAGAGGAAUAUGAUGUAAGCAGAAUUGACCGUUGUGCUUUCUGUCAUUUGUUUGUUUUUCUUUCUGCACAUACCCACCCUACUCAGCCUCUGAUUGGUUAGUACUUGUUUCCUUCUUGCCAGAUUUUAGGAAUUAAUAAAAAGCUGAUCAACUUGAUUUGUGAAGGUUGGUCGGUUCCUGAUUUCAACUUCAUGUUUUGGGCUCUCACUUAUAAUUACACUUUUUCAACUGUUGCUAGAUGAACUGAAUACUGUUACAGAUACAUUCAAAUGUUUAAUGUGGAGUUGAAAUUACACAUAUUAUUAACCAUAAUGUUAAUCUGGCACACUGAUUUAAAAGUGGCGCAUUAUAUUUAAAAGGUCUAAGAGAAAGUAGUGGAGCAAUAUAAUAUAACCAGGGCUGAAAUAAAGCCACUGUUGGAGAGAAGGAGUAGAUGUCAUCCAAGCCUUUAACUAGUUAUUAUUAAUAUUGUUAUAACAAGCAGAGUAUUUUUAUGUUAUGAAAACAUGUCUAGAUGUCUGUAAUUAUGAUAUUGUAGUUCUUUACACAAUUAUUAAAGUAAUGAGUCACACACAUCGGUGUGACUGUUCCGGUAUCGCGGUCCCUUUAAGUGUUGUUUUGCUGUUUGUGACGUCGAGCCCCAUGCGGGUUUGGUAUCUGGGCAGCGCCAUCUUGUGUUCAUUCGUUUUGUGAUACGAAAUA